AGGUAAGAACCAAUGGUCAGAGAUGUUUGUUAUGAAGGAGGGUGUUCCUAUUUGGCCGUAUUGGGAUAGUAUUCUUGCUGAUGAGAUAAGAAAUGAUAAUCUUGAUCUUCUUGAAGUUCCUCAAUACGGGCGAAACCUUAAUGAGACUGGUUGAUUGGCUAAAUACGAGUUGCUUUAUGUUGAGUAAUGUUAUGCUUUCAAGAGUUUGUAUUUCAUAAACAAAGUGUGGAUUUGGUACCUCAAAAUGCAAUUUUAUAUCACUUUGCAUGAAAGACAUAUAUGAAAUACUUAGUAUUUAAUAAAUAAGCAUAGCGUUACUCUUUUGUAUUGAAUAAAUAAAAGACUUGUACUAUUGCCAGUAGUUUAAUUCAAUAAAUAAGAUGAUCUCUUCAGAUGUAAAAAAAUAUCCUUUGAUUGCAUCAUGUACUUUAGUUUUCCUAAAAAUAAAAAAGGUUGAUUGUGUGUUGAUUUGUUAUUAUUAUUAUUAUUGAGCAAAAGCACAACUAAGUACGAAUUUUUUUUUUUUUGAGAAAAGGGAAAAAUAUUAGAAAUUUAAAUGGGAGGACAAAGAUUGAGCCUAGAAAGAAGCUCAAUAAAGUAAAAAAUUAAAAAAAAAACAAAGAAACAAAUAAAGAUGAGUCAUGAUAUGAGCGCAAAGGGCAACACAAUGGUGGCAUAAAUAAAUGGGGUCCUAAUACUGAGGUAACUGAGGCUUCAUACAUUAUUUAAUAUUGAGAUUUUUAUAAAUGAUUAUUACUACUUGAAAAUUGACAUUAGGUUCAAAGGUCCUAAUUAGUCCAUUAGAUAUGUAUUUUAUAAGGGAUCUAAGCUACUAUGCCAGGGUAACCAUUGUGAGCUAUGGUUUGGAAAGUAUGAAUGCACUAAUUUGAGGAUUAAUUCACACAGAAUUCUUAGCUAAGCCUACUUGGGGACCUUUCUCAUAAGAGAAUGCUUUAUGGAACGGAUUAGUAGAUAACCAAUAAUCAUAAAAAGCUCAUAAGAGACCUAAUACUGCCUAAUGGUAUGUAGGCCCAUUAUUGAGUCUAUGCCAAGGUCAGUAUUUUCGAUCUAGUAGUUAACUCUAGCUUAAGCCCAUAAACCCUCUUAGAAUACUUAUGAAACCCUGAGAAUCUAUUCCUCUUUUGAGAUUCUUGAUUACUGCCAAUUAGGUUUACCUUCAAACCUUAUACACUAUUCAAGCAUGCUUAAACGACCAUUAAGCACUCACCAACAUCCUAACUAUUAUUCAGUAGCCUAAACACCCUCUAAAGAGCAACCUUUGCAACCAUCCACCUUCUUUGUUCAAGGAAAGGUCUUCUUGUUGACCAAAUAACCAUAGUUUAGAUUUCUUUAUUCUUAAAAAACCCUAAACUAGUCGUCCUCACCAUCAUAUCACUAUUAAAACACAUUCCUUGACUAUGAACAAUCCUUCAUUCUUAGUCAAACAUGUUUCAACCCUCAAGCAUUGACCUUAAAUCCAACGAACUAUUACAACAAUAUUCUUAAAUUCAACACUCAAAUACUUUUAUUCUUAUAACUAGUGUCAAAACCACCCUAAACACCGUCCAAUCACACUUUAAGGUUUCAAUUAUCUCAAAAUUCCACCUUUAACCCUUAAAUCACAUUAGGACUUUUUCCUCGUUUUUUGUUGUAUAAGUCCCUAAGGCAUGAUCUUAAACCCUGGUUGUCUGUUAUUCAUGGCACUAUAUUAUUAUUAUUCAAACCCAGAUGCACCUGUUCGACAAGCAAGCCAUGCUCAAAGUUUUAACACGAGUUUAUUCAGACCGCAUCAAUACCCAAAUAAUCUUAUGAACCUUAAUCCUCAAAAUAUCAUCAAAAUAGCUUUCAUAGACCACAUCCAGACCUAAGUCAUAGAAUAGGCUCAAAUCCUAUUUCUAAUUGAAGAAGGAUUGUCUCCAACCAAUAUAGGGGAGACAUUGGACGGAUUAAAAUCCCAACAAAAUAAUGAUUUUGCAGUUAGUUUUGUUUAUUGUUUCAAUAAGGAUAUUUAGCUAAAUUUGAAAUCGCCAAUGAUGCUUCAGUUCAUUUUCUUUUAAAAAAGGAUUGAAGAUGAAUUGUUGUGAUGAAGAUAGUACGUUUGUCAUUUUUAAAAUUUCAAAGUUAAAAUUGUGCCUAUGAUAAACAAAAGAGUAAAUAUGCAUUUUUGCAAUUUUAAAUUAUCAAGUAUAAAAUAAAUUUUAGCAUAAAUUUUUAAACAUAUUUAACAAAGUUAAUUGAAAAAUGACUACUUGAUGCAAUUUAAAAACUAUAGGUGGUGCACAAUUAUUGAUUGAAAUUUUUUAUGACUAUUUGAACUUUCAACAUUUGUCACGUGAUUUUGAAAGCACGUAUUCUCAAAGGCUUUAGUUAUCUUAUGUGAUUAUGUAAGAUACAUGAUUCUUCCACAGCUAUUAAAUGAAAAUCUAAUAGUUGUAGAAAUAAUAUAAUUUUAUUAUAUUAUAUUUUUAUAACCAUUGAAUUUUCUUCAUCAAACGACUGUAGAGAAAUCAUGUAUCUAACAUAAUUAGGUAAGAUAACAAUCUCCAUUCUCAAAAUGAAAAAUGAUAUGGAGACUAUAAAUCAUGACAAACUUAUGACAAAACAGCACUAUGAGCGUCGUUUUCAGCUUUUUUUUUUCUUCUUUUCCCUCAAAAUUUCUAUCAUUUCAAAACAUCUGUCAAAUACUGUAAGUCUAUAAUGAAUUUAAAAAAAAGUCGGCAAAAGCAAUUGAUCGAUGUGACAAAUUGUACCAUCACCUUUGCAUGAUUAAACUAUGGUCUAAUGUAAUAUUAGUUUUAUUUUGAUUGUAAUACUAAUGUUAAAAAAAAUUACGGUCACGUAUUUCCCAUACUCAAACAAGAUUGGCAGAUUUCGUUGUAAUGGAUGAUAUAAUAUAUGUUUAAGAAAUUUCUUGAUAAAGAAAAUUCAAUAAUGUUACCAAUAGAACACCAACGUGAAAAAUAUUGUCAAGAAAUGCCAGCAUAAGUUCAUGAAAUAUGAAAUUACUAUAAUUUGCGAAUAAGAAAUUCCAAUAAAUCUCAAACCAAUUCUUAUUGUAUGAAUCCCUUGACCAUUUUUUACCAUAAUUUGGCUCUUUGGUGAAUUUGUUUUACCAAUCAACUUGAUUGUAAUCAACUACAAUUGGUGUGUUGCCAAUCACUAUGUUUUGUUGCCGCUGAUGGGUAAUUACGUUUUCUUUAUGUUUCACGAGUCCGUAAAAAUAACAAUAAAAAUUGUAUUGCCUUGCCUGUCUGUCCUGCGGCCAUAACAUUUUUUUUUAUAUUAAUUAAUCUGUUGAUAGGAAGUCAUCUAUUACCAUCAUCAUCAUCAUCAUCAUCAUCAUCAUUUGGGUUAUUAAGUGAUGGAGCAAAUAAUUAAUUUGAACAGAACGUUCUUUAUUAAUUUUUAUUUACUUGUGCAAUUACUGUGUUAAUAGAUUUACUUUAAAAAAGAGUGAGACUAUUUAGUAUUUACAGUCAUAAAAUUAUUCAGAAUACUCAUUUUCGAACUUAAAAAUUCUAGAGAACCAAUGCCUUAAAAAUAAACGACAAUGUGAUAUAGUAAUAUCAAAUUUUAGUUCGGGUAAAGAUAAUUUAUAUCCAUAAAAUUUCUCUCAGUAUUCAAUUUCUGAAAUGUCUUUUACUUCAAAAUUUAAAGAAUUUUAUAUUUACUUCUUACCCUCUCUAAAAUUUCAAAAAUAACUACCAAUUACGAUUACGAUUUUCUCUCCAAAUUGUGAGUCAAUUUAUACUCUCUUUCUGGUUCCUACCUAAUAAAUAAACUAUCUAGUGACAUCCAACACAUGAGAUAACAAAUAAAUUAAUUACAAUUUGAUCAACCAUUGUUUAGCCAACCAUCUCAAACCAGCUCGAUCGUCAGAAUCUCAGUCUUUUUGGAUACUUUUAAUUAAAAGCUGACUCCGAUUAAAGAAACUCAUGCAGGAACUCGCUCAGCUACUUGCUUAAUUCUGACUACACACAAGGACAGGGGGAGAAAAAUCUAUCCUGAGUUGAUUGAAGAUUAAGAAAACUUCUUUUGCACAGGUACACAUUUAGGCUGAGUUCAGUUGAAUGCCAUUUCUAAUCCUCGCAUUAUUCUGUGCAUGUUGUUUAUGAAUAAAUUUCCUAAUAUGAUGUUCAGGUAAAAAGGUAAAUACGAUUUUUCCACUUCUGUUGAGCGGCAAGCACAAAUUGUCCUGUUACAAAAUGGAGACGCUCUCGGCUCACUUUUUUUCAUUCGGUUGAGAGUAGUGUUAUUGAUGAGAUGAUGUUGAUCGACAUAGGAGAACCUUGGCCAAAGUAAUUAACUGAUGGCUAAAUUUGAAUUGUUUUCUAUUAGAUAAAAUAUUAUGCUUCUAAUAGUUUUUAUUUUUUUUUUUUUUUUUGGCCGAACCUCGCCGGAAAUUCAUUGAAAGUGAACAAAGAAAUACACUGUAGGGUAAUUGAUACGCAUACAAUUAAGCUCAUCUGAUAUGUAUGGGCAGAGAAUUGUGAAUGGGUAUGUACUUGCGGGCAGAGUUGAAGGGGACAGAACAGAAACCAUCUUCAUGUAGUUCACAAAUCACAACAGAAACGAUAAUGGGCUUGUAUGAACAAAAUGAAAUUUUAUAUGCUUAAAUAUACAAAUGAUAGAAAUUAAGUGACCUUCGUAGAUAAAUUAUAACAAAAUUUUAGCUGAAUAUAAAUUCGACUUAUUUAUUAAAUAGAUAUACUUAAUAAAAUAACAAGACGAUUAAUGUGUAUUAAAUGAUUGAUAUAGACACAACUGAAAUAGCUCUAAUGUGAAAACAAGAAAAGUCCCGCUACCAAUAAUUCAGAGGCAGGCCCCACGGCCAUCAAUAAUUACGCCAAAGUGAAGCAAAAGCCAGAGGCAGGCCCCACCGCCAUGAAUAAUUCAGCAAGCUUCACAUGCUUUUGCUCGACGAACCGGGCAUGGGUGGACCAAGCACCAUUGAAUAAUUGCAAAAAAUGAAAAAUAAAAAUCAGUGUCCAGCAAAAAAAGAAUCCAUAUUCAUGUGUUGCUUCCUAUUCAGUACAUCUACCUAGCAUUUAAAAAAAAUGGAAGUAGAAAUUAAAACUCACUUUUUUAGAUAUGGCUCAUAUAUAUUACAAGUAUCAAGAUUUAAUUAGAGUUCACAUAUUUACAAUGUGUCUAGUUUUAACUGAUUAAUAGAUAUUAUGAAAUGGGAAUCUCCGAAACAUGAUAGUCGUGUAUGCCAAUUGCCACGGGCCCCACGUGCGGGGCCAAUGGCUUUUAUGUAAUUGGCCGUCGCUACUUGGAUGUGUAUAAAUACCAUCUCAAGGCGGAACCAAAAUCUCACCUCGCUCAAGUCUCUCAAACUACUUGCUUUUCAUUGCAUUAAUAGGAAGAGUUCUUUAAUUUUCUGAUUUGAAGAAUAUGGAAGCUGUUUUUGCAGGUACAUUUUAAGACAAGUUCACUUUGAUUGCCGCUUCGAAUUCUUAUCUUCUCUCUCUACACACACACACACACACACACAUAUAUAUAAUUCUUUAUUAAUUAAAUUAUAUAUGUAUUUUAAGGUUAUGUUUUUUAAUAAAGAAAUUUUAUCAGGUAAGAACCAAUGGUCAGAGAUGUUUGUUAUGAAGGAGGGUGUUCCUAUUUGGCCGUAUUGGGAUAGUAUUCUUGCUGAUGAGAUAAGAAAUGAUAAUCUUGAUCUUCUUGAAGUUCCUCAAUACGGGCGAAACCUUAAUGAGACUGGUUGAUUGGCUAAAUACGAGUUGCUUUAUGUUGAGUAAUGUUAUGCUUUCAAGAGUUUGUAUUUCAUAAACAAAGUGUGGAUUUGGUACCUCAAAAUGCAAUUUUAUAUCACUUUGCAUGAAAGACAUAUAUGAAAUACGUAGUAUUUAAUAAAUAAGCAUAGCGUUACUCUUCUGUAUUAAAUAAAUAAAAGACUUGUACUAUUGCCAGCAGUUUAAUUCAAUAAAUAAGAUGAUCUCUUGAGAUGUAAAAAAAUAUCUUUUGAUUGCAUCAUGUACUUUAGUUUUCCUAAAAAU
rnacentral:lncRNA from 1 species